CGGGUAAAAAUAGAAAUAAACAAAAAUCGUAAUAUAUUAUAGUACCCUGCGCAAAAGUUAAUAUAACAACCAAUAAAAAGGAUUUCAUGUACUUACAAAACCCAAGUCGCUGGCGAGCUUCGAUCCAUCGAUUUCCAGUAUGACUCGAAGUCUUCAGCGGCAGCUCCUAUGACAGUAGCUCCUGGUAGGUUCUCUAGUCCUGACAAGGAAGUUGAAGGCGUUGACCUGAUUUUUAGGGGAUGCACCACGACGACCUUGAACAUCCAGGACUAUCCUUUAAGACUGCGCCAGUUACAUAAGGACGACUGUCCAGAGCUGGUAGAGAAAGUAGAAGUCCUUUUUGGUUGUGGAAUGGUUUAAUUAGGUACUGAUUUACAUGAAAAUUACAUAUUAUAAUUAGAGAUACGUCCGUUUCGCACCGAUGCU